rnacentral:rRNA from 1 species
GAUUGAACACUGGUGGCAGGCCUAACACAUGCAAGUCGAGCGGCAUCGAGUGAGCGCAGUUUACUGAGUUCAUGUCGGCGAGCGGCGGACGGGUGAGUAAAGUCUGGGAAUCUGGCCGAAGGAGGGGGAUAACUGCUGGAAACGGCAGCUAAUACCGCAUGAAGUCGCGAGACCAAAGUGGGGGACCUUCGGGCCUCACGCCUUCGGAUGAGCCCAGAUGAGAUUAGCUGGUAGGUAAGGUAAAGGCUUACCUAGGCGACGAUCUCUAGCGGGUCUGAGAGGAUAGCCCGCCACACUGGAACUGAGACACGGUCCAGACUCCUACGGGAGGCAGCAGUGGGGAAUAUUGCACAAUGGGCGAAAGCCUGAUGCAGCCAUGCYACGUGUGUGAAGAAGGC